rnacentral:rRNA from 1 species
UACGGGGGGGGCAAGCGUUGUUCGGAAUUACUGGGCGUAAAGGGUUUGUAGGUGGCCCGCUAAGUCACACGUGAAAUCCCUCAGCUUAACUGGGGAACUGCGUGUGAGACUGGCAGGCUCGAGGGCAGGAGAGGAACGCGGAAUUCCAGGUGUAGCGGUGAAAUGCGUAGAUAUCGGGAGGAACACCAGUGGCGAAGGCGGCCUUCUGGACCAGUACUGACGCUCAUGCACGAAAGCGUGGGGAGCAAACAGG